rnacentral:lncRNA from 1 species
CAGGCUCUCCGGGAGCCGCUGGCCCGGCGCGGCGCGCACGAUCGAAUCGUCGCUGUUUUCGUCCACGAUAGUCUCGUCGAAGUCGAAGGAGGAACGUGUCAGCAGGUGGGGUUUCUGCCAGAGUCCGAAGCAAGCGGGCAGCAGGAGAAGCAGUGGGGCUUGGGGAGGUAAGAGCCUCCCGCACCAGGCCAUGACACACCUGGGAGACAGAGUCACCCUCUGGUCUCAUCAACAUCCAGUGGGCAUUUCAGUGGCCCAGGAUCCUUCAAAUUGCAGAUAUAAAGCAUCAGGACCCCACACCUGGGAUGGAAGCUUCUAGGAAUUAAUGAAGCCCCAGUAGAGGUGAGGGUAAACCUAAAACGGGCUGGAUAGGGCCUCUCCCAAGGCCCUAUGGAAAGGUGAUGGGAAACUGGGGGCUGAGGCCUCAUCCUAGGAGACCCCUGGAGGGACCC